rnacentral:rRNA from 1 species
UACGAAGGGGGCUAGCGUUGCUCGGAAUCACUGGGCGUAAAGCGCACGUAGGCGGAUUGCUAAGUCAGGGGUGAAAUCCUGGAGCUCAACUACAGAACUGCCCUUGAUACUGGCGAUCUCGAGUCCGGGAGAGGUGAGUGGAACUGCGAGUGUAGAGGUGAAAUUCGUAGAUAUUCGCAAGAACACCAGUGGCGAAGGCGGCUCACUGGCCCGGUACUGACGCUGAGGUGCGAAAGCGUGGGGAGCGAACAGG